AGAAUGGUUUAAUGGAUUUGGAUUAUUUGCCUCAGAAAGGUGAGGAGUAAGAAGGUUCAUGACUUCCAUGGCAGAAUUUGUUCCCUGAGCAGGAAUCCCCUGUUCCCCUCAUCCCCUGUCCCAUGGGAUGCUCAGGUGACGUGGAGCAGGGCUUGGUGAAACAAAUCUGGUUUUACAUGAAAUGCAGAGGACUGCAGCAGACUGUGAGGGUCCUGAGGAUGAGUAAAUCAGACAGAAAAAUCAGCAUCUUUAUGCAGGGUGGGCUGGAGCCAGGAGUUUCUCAUGGAAGCAGCUGGAUUUCUCAUCCAGAGCACAGAAAUUGUUAUGCAUCACAGGAGGACCACCGAGGAAAGGACACAAAGGACAGCAGAAAAAGAAGCUAAUGCAGUGACUUCAUAUAAGUAUUCCAGGGAUGAUGCAAGGAACGUAUUAAUGUCAUCAAAGUAUUGGCACUGGCUUGAAAAUCUAAAAACCAAUGUUAAGAUGUUUCAUGGUCUGUUAAAUCACAUGAUGAAAGGCAUUUUGAACCACAACAAAAAAAGAUUUUAUAUGAAGGAGCAUAGUUCUCCAAGAAAACAGACCAAUACCAAAUGGAAUUAGUACAACACAGUGGAAAGUAGCUAAUAUUAAUAAAAAUAAUAAAUCCUGCCAUUAGAUUUUCACAGUCUAAUUAUUCAGAGGGUUAGUCACUAAUGGCCUGAGACACCCCCAUCACAGAGAACACAAGGAGCCAGGAGAAAUAUGAUUGCAGCUAAGUGGCCUGAAUUACAAAUAAUGAUAAAUAAGAAAUAUAUUUUACAGUCCUUUCAUACCCCCGUCUGUGACUCUCAAAGAAGUUAAUGAAUCCAUGUGACCCUUUUGGCAGGAGAAGAUUUUGGCCACCUUAAUGUGCUGCAUUUGUGAAUUAAUUAGGCUAAAUAUCCAAUGAUCCCUCAAUUUCUG
rnacentral:lncRNA from 12 species